rnacentral:tRNA from 1 species
GAAGGAGUAAACUAAGCGAAGUUUUUUGGUUCAUGACCGAAGUAUAGAUUUAAAUUAUCUCUCCUUUU